rnacentral:rRNA from 1 species
GAUGAACGCUGGCGGCGUGCCUGACACAUGCAAGUCGAACGGAGUCGUUUUGGAAAAUCCUUCGGGAUUGGAAUUCUCGACUUAGUGGCGGACGGGUGAGUAACGCGUGAGCAAUCUGCCUUUAAGAGGGGGAUAACAGUCGGAAACGGCUGCUAAUACCGCAUAAAGCAUCAAAUUCGCAUGUUUUUGAUGCCAAAGGAGCAAUCCGCUUUUAGAUGAGCUCGCGUCUGAUUAGCUGGUUGGCGGGGUAACGGCCCACCAAGGCAACGAUCAGUAGCCGGACUGAGAGGUUGAACGGCCACAUUGGGACUGAGACACGGCCCAGACUCCUACGGAAGGCAGCAGUGGGGAAUAUUGCGCAAUGGGGGAAACCCUGACGCAGCAACGCCGCGUGAUUGAAGAAGGCCUUCGGGUUGUAAAGAUCUUUAAUCAGGGACGAAACAAAUGACGGUACCUGAAGAAUAAGCUCCGGC